rnacentral:tRNA from 1 species
GGCUGGAUGGUCUAAUCGGUUAAGGCGUCGCCCCGGAGCCCGGACAGGCGAAGGUUGCGGGUUCAAUCCCCGCUCCUGGCC